UCGGUUUUGCUGGGGUGGGCUGGCUGGGCCACCAAGUGUUAACUGCUGAGCCAAGUGCAGAGAACUCUGGCCCCAGCGUCAUCCUCUGGCAGUGGGGCCUUGCUCCCAAUUCAUGUCUUCCUGAAUUCACCAGUCUGGACAGCCUCCAGGAGUUAGCAAGAAAAUGGAAUGAGCCUAGAUGUCCAUCACCCAAUGAACAGAUAAUGAAAAUAUGGUGCUUAUACACAAUGGAAUUCCACUCAGCCAUCAAGAAAAAUGAAUUACACAGUCUGCAGAUAAUUUGAACUGAAAAAUAUUCUAUUGAGCAAGGCCCAGAAGGCAAACAAACUGGCCAGCCACACGAAUCUUCUCAGCAAUCUCUGGACUGGCUCAAGACACCACGCCUCAACAGAAAGAGCACACAGGAAGAUUUAAGAGGCCAAGCUUAGGUCUCCACAUGUGUGCACAUGCCUGCAUGUACACUCCAACAGGGUGAACAUCUAUCUGACUCCCGGUCCUGGGAACCAUUCCUCAGCUUCUGCUGCCUUGGCUGUGGGCACAGCCUCCCUUUCUAUGCGCCCAGGAUUUGCGGUUGGGCUGUGUAAACUUCUCUGCCUGGCAGACCUUUUGUCCAUCAUAUCUGGAAGCGGCAGCAGUCUGUGCUUUAACAACGCUGGGGAUUACAUUGUCGGCCUGCUUCCUUGAGGCAGAUCUUCCAAGUGUUGAAAGCCAAAGAGAAAAGAGAAAAUCUUGACAUGGUCAACAGGAAAAUGACAGCUGCCUCUAGAGGAACAACAACAAAUUACUGGCUGGCUUCUUAUCAGGGGACACAGGGCAGAGAACAAUACAAGUCUCUGUAGAUGCCA